GCUUCCCAGGGUGCAGCUUUAUACGACCGCAGAGGUCGAACCCUGAACAGUUGGGACAAGUAUGGACACAACAUUUAAGCUUGAUACAGCUCUGAAUUUGGAUUGUGAUUAAAUAGUUGACACAACAUAGGUUUCUGACACAGAAUGAAUGUGGUCUAAGAACUUAAACUUAAAAACUUAAAAAUUUUAAAUUGGACAUUUACCUAUUAUGGUCCAAUAUCCAAAAUCUAAAUACAUGGUUAGAUUCAGCAUAUCAUAGAACCCAAGAAUUCAAUUUUUGAUGAAAUCAAAUAAUGUUCAAUUUUAGACCCUUUAGACCUCAAUGUGGACCUAUUUGAUAACCAGGCCCAAAUAUUACAAAUC
rnacentral:lncRNA from 1 species